UACGGAGGGAGCUAGCGUUGUUCGGAAUUACUGGGCGUAAAGCGCACGUAGGCGGCUACUCAAGUCGGGGGUGAAAGCCCGGGGCUCAACCCCGGAACUGCCUUCGAAACUAGGUAGCUAGAAUCUUGGAGAGGCGAGUGGAAUUCCGAGUGUAGAGGUGAAAUUCGUAGAUAUUCGGAAGAACACCAGUGGCGAAGGCGGCUCACUGGCCCGAUACUGACGCUGAGGCGCGAAAGCGUGGGGAGCAAACAGG
rnacentral:rRNA from 1 species